GACGAACGCUGGCGGCGUGCUUAACACAUGCAAGUCGAACGGAAAGGCCCUGCUUGCAGGGUACUCGAGUGGCGAACGGGUGAGUAACACGUGGGUGAUCUGCCCUGCACUUCGGGAUAAGCCUGGGAAACUGGGUCUAAUACCGGAUAGGAGCCAUUUUUAGCGUGAUGGUUGGAAAGUUUUUUCGGUGUGGGGUGAGCUCGCGGCCUAUCAGCUUGUUGGUGGGGUAAUGGCCUACCAAGGCGGCGACGGGUAGCCGGCCUGAGCGGGUGGACGGCCACAUUGGGUCUGAGGUACGGCCCAGCCUCCUACGGGAGGCAGCAGUGGGGAAUCUUGCACAAUGGGCGCCAGCCUGAUGCAGCGACGCCGCGUGGGGGAUGACGGCCUUCGGGUUGUAAACUCCUUUCGCUAGGGACGAAGCUUUUUGUGACGGUACCUAGAUAAGAAGCACCGGCUAACUACGUG
rnacentral:rRNA from 1 species